GUUGGUGUUAAUGACGAUGAGGGUCCACCCGUUCCCAUUCCGAACACGGAAGUUAAGCUCAUUUGUGCCGACGAUACUUGACGGGUGACUGUCCGGGAAAAUAGGUAGAUGCCGACA
rnacentral:rRNA from 1 species